UUCAGCUGCAGGCUAGCUGCAGGCCUAUCAAAGCAUAAAUCCAGAAGAGGUGGAAGUGAAGUAAUAUCCUGUACCUGGCAUCACAAAGUUCGUAAAGCUGAAUGCUACUAGAUUCAGGAAAGUUAUGAAGGGGUGCCUGAAGAUAAAGCUGAGUGCCACUAUCCUAGGCAUGGAAUACAUUUGACCGACUUCUGAGAAUUUCUGUGCAAAGAGGACUGUACACCUUUAUGCAAAGUCAGUGGGGCUUCCUUUUGCCACUGUAAGAAUCAAGACUGUUUCGAUGGAGACCAGAUCAUUUCAUCAUUUCAG
rnacentral:lncRNA from 1 species